CCCGCUGAACUUAAGCAUAUUAUUAAGCGGAGGAAAAGAAACUAACAAGGACUCCCCUAGUAAUGGCGAAUGAACGGGGAAGAGCCCAGCACCGAAUCCCGCAGUGUUUCACUGCCGGGAACUGUGGUGUUUAGGCAAGCCUUUCCGGCAUUUCGAGGCAGUCAAAGUCCCCUUGAGGGGGGCCAUGGCCCAUAGCGGGUGCAAGGCCCAUACGACGUCUCUUGUGUCGGUUGGAGCUGCCGUGGAGUCGGGUUGCUUGAGAGUGCAGCCCAAAGUGGGUGGUAAACCCCAUCUAAGGCUACAUAUAACCACGAGACCGAUAGCAAACAAGUACCGUGAGGGAAAGUUGCAAAGAACUUUGAAGAGAGAGUUCAAAGGGCGUGAAACCGCUUAGAAGUAAACGGGUGGAGCUGCCAUUACGUCUACUGGAUUCAGCUUGUCGGUUGCAGACUGCUUUCUCUUGAUCGCAAGACAGGAGUGUGGUUCUGGUUUGUUGCCGAUAGGUGCAUUUUCGGUAGAAGUGCGCCACGACCAACUGGGACGUCAGCUAAAGGCCGGAGUGAUUGCCGUCUGUGAGCUUGCUUGCAGUGCCCCGUCCUCCGAGUCGGCUAGAUUGGCCCGGUUGAGUAAACGACCGCACCCGCUGUCACAGGUUAGUCGGUUUGGGGUCGCCGAAUGCCUAGCUGUGCACGCACGGCUGGGUGUACCCUGGUUUCAAAGCCGGCUAAUGCUGAGUUGGUGCAUAUGGUCAGUGGCGUCCGUGUCAGCCAACCACCCGACCCGUCUUGAAACACGG
rnacentral:rRNA from 1 species